GCCCGGGUGGUGGAAUUGGUAGACACAAGGGAUUUAAAAUCCCUCGGCUUCUGGCCGUGCGGGUUCAAGUCCCGCCCCGGGCACCA
rnacentral:tRNA from 1 species